ACCACACUUCACUAUUCUAUCUUCCAGAUCUCUUCCACUGGCAACACUACCCUUCCAGAGAAUAGCAUGGAGGCGAGCAUGGAAAGGGGAAUUUCAGCCUCUGUGGGAGAUCUGAGAACUUCUGUGCUCUCGAAACUUCUAAUUGAGCAUAAAGAAGGCUGGGAGAAUCUGAAAAGAACUGAACCAAAGGCCACUGAGAAGUUGUUGGUGAAGUAGGGCUGUGACCUGUAACAGACAGUGGGUCCGGAUGGACUUCUCAGGGUCUGAGACAUUAGAUGGCAAGAGGCUCACAGAGCAUUUCUCCAAUAGCCGCAACCCAGAUGGAAAAAUGCAUAGAUGAAGGUUUGAUUCCCUUUUCAUCAAUAAGUCUUUCAGGCACCCUAUGUCAUAAAAGGGUGCACACCUUAGGAAAAAAUUAAUAUGUAAAAAUUAAAUAAAGAGAGUCAGAAGGAGGAUCUGCUGUUUAUC
rnacentral:lncRNA from 1 species